rnacentral:rRNA from 1 species
CCUACGGGGGGCAGCAGUGGGGGAUAUUGCACAAUGGGGGAAACCCUGAUGCAGCGACGCCGCGUGUGGGAAGACGGUCCUCUGGAUUGUAAACCACUGUCCCCAGGGACGAAAAUGACGGUACCUGGGGAGGAAGCUCCGGCUAACUACGUGCCAGCAGCCGCGGUAAUACGUAGGGAGCGAGCGUUGUCCGGAAUUACUGGGUGUAAAGGGAGCGUAGGCGGGGAUGCAAGUUGGGUGUCAAAACUACGGGCUCAACUGGUAGUCGCACUCAAAACUGCAGCUCUUGAGUGAAGUAGGGGCAGGCGGAAUUCCUAGUGUAGCGGUGAAAUGCGUAGAUAUUAGGAGGAAACCCAGGGGCGAGGGCGGCCUGCGGGGCUUUUACUGACGCUGAGGCUCGAAAGUGUGGGAGCAAACAGGAUUAGAUACCCUUGUAGUC